GACGUAGGGCGCGAGCGUUGUCCGGAUUUAUUGGGCGUAAAGAGCUCGUAGGCGGCUUGUCGCGUCGUCCGUGAAAACCUGCAGCUCAACUGCAGGCUUGCGGUCGAUACGGGCAGGCUCGAGUUCGGUAGGGGAGACUGGAAUUCCUGGUGUAGCGGUGAAAUGCGCAGAUAUCAGGAGGAACACCGGUGGCGAAGGCGGGUCUCUGGGCAGUAACUGACGCUGAGGUGCGAAAAGCGUGGGGAGCAAACAGG
rnacentral:rRNA from 1 species